GUUUUAGCCUUCAUUUCAAGGGCAGAAACUUCGGGAACAGGAGCUGUGGUAGCGAUGCUUCUGGAGUUUCUAUUCCCACAGCUAGAACCUAACUUUUCCAACAGAGGUCGCUGCUGAGCCCGCUUCUCCAUUCUCAGGUGUAUUGAGAAACCACAGGGACGCGUAAAGGCUGAGACUUGAGGUUCCCUAGCUGGCAAAAUUGAGUUGAAGACAACUAAGUUAGAGAGACCUCUUCAGGAAGGGGUACCAACCAAAAGAAAGAGCAUCCCCAGGAAGGAGCGCCUUAGGAAAGCCUUGGCAUGGUGGUCAAAUGCCCAAGCCGUGCCCUUGGACUGCCCUGACGUUGCAUCACAGCUCUGCCACUCACUGCCUACGUGAACUUGAAUGAAGACAGUGCGCUCAGAGUUUGCCUACAAUGCAAGAGAGAGAUCCCGAUCUGAACCAGAUCUGACUCUGAAGUCCACGGUCAGCUCAGUAGCCCUAGUUAAAUUCACCUAAACUCCAAACAAGAGGAAAUAAUGAAGUUGGAGAAUGUGUGACUGGAUGGACCGCUGAGGCUGACUGCUUGCCAAGACAUCUGUAUGCUACCUGCAUUGGAUUCUCCCUUCUGCCGCCUUUUGCUACAACUAAAUCUUGUGACCCCUUUGCUGACUAUCUAGACACCAUCCAGAGAUUGUGGCCAGCCUUGGAUGCCAAGUUUGACUCCCAAACUCAACCUCAGUUGAGUUGUCAGCACCAUCACAGACUCAGCUCCUCCCCCACCCCCCAUCCCCCA
rnacentral:lncRNA from 1 species